GAUGAACGCUGGCGGCGUGCCUAAUACAUGCAAGUCGAGCGAACAGACGCGGAGCUUGCUCCUCUGACGUUAGCGGCGGACGGGUGAGUAACACGUGGAUAACCUACCUAUCAGACUGGGAUAACUUCGGGAAACCGGAGCUAAUACCGGAUAAUAUAUUGAACCGCAUGGUUCAAUAGUGAAAGACGGUUUUGCUGUCACUUCUAGAUGGAUCCGCGCCGCAUUAGCUAGUUGGUAAGGUAACGGCUUACCAAGGUAACGAUGCGUAGCCGACCUGAGAGGGUGAUCGGCCACACUGGAACUGAGACACGGUCCAGACUCCUACGGGAGGCAGCAGUAGGGAAUCUUCCGCAAUGGGCGAAAGCCUGACGGAGCAACGCCGCGUGAGUGAUGAAGGUCUUCGGAUCGUAAAACUCUGUUAUUAGGGAAGAACAAAUGUGUAAGUAACUAUGCACGUCUUGACGGUACCUAAUCAGAAAGCCACGGCUAACUACGUG
rnacentral:rRNA from 1 species